AGAUUGAACGCUAGCGGGAUGCUUUACACAUGCAAGUCGAACGGCAGCGCGGACUUCGGUCUGGCGGCGAGUGGCGAACGGGUGAGUAAUAUAUCGGAACGUGCCCAGUAGCGGGGGAUAACUACGCGAAAGCGUGGCUAAUACCGCAUACGCCCGUACGGGGGAAAGGGGGGGAUUCGUUCGGAACCUCUCACUAUUGGAGCGGACCGAUAUCAGAUUAGCUAGUGGUGAGGUAAAGCUCACCAAGGCGACGAUCUGUAGCUGGUUUGAGAGGACGACCAGCCACACUGGGACUGAGACGACGGCCCAAGACUCCGUACGGGACGGCGAGCGAGGUGGGGGUAAUUUUAGGGAACUAAGUGGGGGAAACCCUUGACUCCAGCCAA
rnacentral:rRNA from 1 species